rnacentral:rRNA from 1 species
UGGGGAAUUUUCCGCAAUGGGCGAAAGCCUGACGGAGCAACGCCGCGUGAGGGAGGAAGGUCUUUGGAUUGUAAACCUCUUUUCUCAAGGAAGAUAAUGACGGUACUUGAGGAAUCAGCAUCGGCUAACUCCGUGCCAGCAGCCGCGGUAAUACGGGGGAUGCAAGCGUUAUCCGGAAUUAUUGGGCGUAAAGCGUCCGUAGGCGGCUAGAUAAGUCUGCUGUUAAAGCGUGCGGCUUAACCGCAUACCAGCAGUGGAAACUAUUUAGCUAGAGUGUGGUAGGGGUAGAGGGAAUUCCCGGUGUAGCGGUGAAAUGCGUAGAUAUCGGGAAGAACACCAGUGGCGAAAGCGCUCUGCUGGGCCACAACUGACGCUGAUGGACGAAAGCUAGGGGAGCGAAAGGGAUUAGAUACCCCCGUAGUCC